rnacentral:rRNA from 1 species
CCUACGGGUGGCUGCAGUGGGGAAUAUUGGACAAUGGGGGCAACCCUGAUCCAGCCAUGCCGCGUGUGUGAAGAAGGCCCUCGGGUUGUAAAGCACUUUCAGUGAGGAAGAACGCCUGGUGGUUAAUACCCAUCAGGAAAGACAUCACUCACAGAAGAAGCACCGGCUAACUCCGUGCCAGCAGCCGCGGUAAUACGGAGGGUGCGAGCGUUAAUCGGAAUUACUGGGCGUAAAGCGCGCGUAGGUGGCUUGAUAAGCCGGUUGUGAAAGCCCCGGGCUCAACCUGGGAACGGCAUCCGGAACUGUCAAGCUAGAGUGCAGGAGAGGAAGGUAGAAUUCCCGGUGUAGCGGUGAAAUGCGUAGAGAUCGGGAGGAAUACCAGUGGCGAAGGCGGCCUUCUGGACUGACACUGACACUGAGGUGCGAAAGCGUGGGUAGCAAACAGGAUUAGAUACACCAGUAGUC